CAGCCGCCACGGUAAUACGAAGGGGGCUAGCGUUGCUCGGAAUGACUGGGCGUAAAGGGCGCGUAGGCGGCCUGCAUAGUCAGAUGUGAAAUUCCUGGGCUUAACCUGGGGGCUGCAUUUGAUACGUGUGAGCUUGAGUGGGGAAGAGGGUCGUGGAAUUCCCAGUGUAGAGGUGAAAUUCGUAGAUAUUGGGAAGAACACCGGUGGCGAAGGCGGCGACCUGGUCCUUUACUGACGCUGGGGCGCGAAAGCGUGGGGGGCAAACAGGAUUAGAGACCCCGGUAGUCCCUGUCUCUUAUAC
rnacentral:rRNA from 1 species